GCCCGGAAAGGCAAACGGCCAGCCAGCAGCCUGCAAAGCUGCCUUAGUGGGUUCGACUCUCACUCCGGGCUCCA
rnacentral:tRNA from 1 species